ACGGAGGGGGCUAGCGUUGUUCGGAAUUACUGGGCGUAAAGCGCACGUAGGCGGAUCGGCAAGUUAGGGGUGAAAUCCCGGGGCUCAACCCCGGAACUGCCUUUAAAACUGCAGGUCUAGAGUUCGAGAGAGGUGAGUGGAAUUCCGAGUGUAGAGGUGAAAUUCGUAGAUAUUCGGAGGAACACCAGUGGCGAAGGCGGCUCACUGGCUCGAUACUGACGCUGAGGUGCGAAAGCGUGGGGAGCAAACAG
rnacentral:rRNA from 1 species